rnacentral:rRNA from 1 species
UAGGGAAUCUUCGGCAAUGGACGAAAGUCUGACCGAGCAACGCCGCGUGAGUGAAGAAGGUUUUCGGAUCGUAAAACUCUGUUGUUAGAGAAGAACAAGGACGUUAGUAACUGAACGUCCCCUGACGGUAUCUAACCAGAAAGCCACGGCUAACUACGUGCCAGCAGCCGCGGUAAUACGUAGGUGGCAAGCGUUGUCCGGAUUUAUUGGGCGUAAAGCGAGCGCAGGCGGUUUCUUAAGUCUGAUGUGAAAGCCCCCGGCUCAACCGGGGAGGGUCAUUUGAAACUGGGAGACUUGAGUGCAGAAGAGGAGAGUGGAAUUCCAUGUGUAGCGGUGAAAUGCGUAGAUAUAUGGAGGAACACCAGUGGCGAAGGCGGCUCUCUGGUCUGUAGCUGACGCUGAGGCUCGAAAGCGUGGGGAGCAAACAGG